rnacentral:rRNA from 1 species
GUGUCAGCAGCCGCGGUAAAACGUAGGAGGCGAGCGUUAUCCGAAUUUACUGGGCGUAAAGGGUGUGCAGGCGGUGCGGUAAGUUGGGUGUGAAAUCUCCCGGCUCAACUGGGAGAGGUCGCUCAAGACUGCCGCACUGGAGGGCAGGCGAGGGAGGUGGAAUUCCCGGUGUAGUGGUGAAAUGCGUAGAGAUCGGGAGGAACACCAGUGGCGAAAGCGGCCUCCUGGACUGUACCUGACGCUGAGACACGAAAGCUAGGGGAGCGAACGGGAUUAGAUACCCCAGUAGUCC